rnacentral:rRNA from 1 species
GAUGAACGCUAGCGGCAGGCCUAAUACAUGCAAGUCGAACGGUGUCUUCGGACAUAGUGGCGCACGGGUGCGUAACACGUAUGCAACCUACCUUACAUUGGGGGAUAGCCUUUCGAAAGGGAGAUUAAUACCGCAUAAGACAGUAGCUGGGCAUCCAGCAGCUGUUAAAGAUUUAUCGAUGUAAGCUGGGCAUGCGUCCAAUUAGCUAGUUGGUGAGGUAACGGCUCACCAAGGCAAUGAUUGGUAGGGGAACUGAGAGGUCAAUCCCCCACACUGGCACUGAGAUACGGGCCAGACUCCUACGGGAGGCAGCAGUAGGGAAUAUUGGGCAAUGGACGCAAGUCUGACCCAGCCACGCCGCGUGCAGGAUGAAGGCGUUAUGCGUUGUAAACUGCUUUUAUACAGGAGGAAACGACUCUUGCGAGAGGCAUUGACGGUACUGUAUGAAUAAGCACCGGCUAACUCCGUGCCAGCCGCCGCAGUAACAC